GAUGAACGCUAGCGGCAGGCUUAACACAUGCAAGUCGAGGGGUAACAGGAGUAGCUUGCUAUUUGCUGACGACCGGCGCACGGGUGCGUAACGCGUAUAGAAUCUACCUUGUACUAGGGGAUAGCCUUUGGAAACGAAGAUUAAUACCCUAUAGUAAGUAUUUAUGGCAUCAUUUAUACUUUAAAGGUUACGGUACAAGAUGACUAUGCGUCCUAUUAGUUUGUUGGUGAGGUAACGGCUCACCAAGACUUCGAUAGGUAGGGGCCCUGAGAGGGGGAUCCCCCACACUGGUACUGAGACACGGACCAGACUCCUACGGGAGGCAGCAGUGAGGAAUAUUGGACAAUGGAGGCAACUCUGAUCCAGCCAUGCCGCGUGCAGGAUGACGGCCCUAUGGGUUGUAAACUGCUUUUAUGUAGGAAGAAACACUCUCACGUGUGAGAGCUUGACGGUACUACAAGAAUAAGGACCGGCUAACUCCGUGCCAGCAGCCGCGGUAAUACGGAGGGUCCAAGCGUUAUCCGGAAUCAUUGGGUUUAAAGGGUCCGUAGGCGGGCUAUUAAGUCAGAGGUGAAAGUUUGCAGCUCAACUGUAAAAUUGCCUUUGAAACUGGUAGUCUUGAAUUAUUAUGAAGUGGUUAGAAUAAGUAGUGUAGCGGUGAAAUGCAUAGAUAUUACUUAGAAUACCAAUUGCGAAGGCAGAUCACUAAUAAUAUAUGACGCUGAG
rnacentral:rRNA from 1 species